UGGGAUGACGUCAAGUCAUCAUGGCCCUUACGAGUAGGGCUACACACGUGCUACAAUGGCAUAUACAAAGAGAAGCGAACUCGCGAGAGCAAGACGGACCUCAUAAAGUAUGUCGUAGUCCGGAUUGGAGUCUGCAACUCGACUCCAUGAAGUCGGAAUCGCUAGUAAUCGUAGAUCAGAAUGCUACGGUGAAUACGUUCCCGGGCCUU
rnacentral:rRNA from 1 species